rnacentral:rRNA from 1 species
AUGGAGCUCCUCCCCUUCCUCCUCCUGCUACUCGUGGGCGCCACCGUGGCCUCCGGCGAACCGGCGUACCCUGGCUACGGCGCCACCGAGGCCGAGCCGGCGUGCGGCGUGAAGGAGGAGGCGGCGGUGCCUGUGCCGGAGAGGCGCGAGGAGUUCGACGGGGGGCGGAUCCUGGACAUCAGCCACUACUACCGGGAGGACAUGCCGGCGUUCGAGUCGGCGGAGGGCACGCCCGGGUUCCUGCGGCUGGCGCGCUCCAUGCGCAACGGCUCCGACAUCGCCAACUUCUCCGAGCUCCGGCUCACGGCGCACUCCGGCACCCACGUCGACGCGCCGGGCCACGUCUUCGAGCACUACUACGACGCCGGCUUCGACGUCGACACGCUCGAUCUCGCCGUCCUCAACGCUGAUGUCAUGGAGUCCUUGCAUAUUCCUAAAGGAGUCCGCCGUGUACUCUUCCGAACCUUAAACACCGACAGAAAGCUUAUCUGGAAGAAAGAGUUUGAUUCAAGUUAUGUUGGCUUCAUGGAGGAUGGUGCUCAAUGGUUGAUUGAUAACACUGACAUCCAACUAGUUGGAGUUGAUUACUUGUCUGUGGGAGCAUAUGAUGAAUGUAUUCCGGCUCAUCUAGUUUUUCUUGAUAAAAGGGAAGUCAUCCUUGUGGAAGCAUUAAACCUUGAACAUGUUGCCACUGGAAUAUACACCUUGCAUUGCUUGCCACUAAGGUUGCGCGGUGCUGAAGGUUCUCCAGCGAGAUGCAUCCUCAUCAAGUAA